rfam:Myotis davidii contig317935, whole genome shotgun sequence.
GCCAGUGUAGCUCAGUGGUAGAGCAUCAGCCUUUGCACUGAAGGUUGAGGGUUUGAUUCCUGUCAAGGGCA